UGAAAAAUGCAUCGAAGGAUCUACUUUCGUAGAUGUUAAAAGUUAAUGAGAUUUAAUGGUGGGGUGGGGGUGGUAGUAAGAGGCUUCAUUGACAGUUGGAGCGGGAGGAAUGGCAAUACCAGAGCGCGAGCCGAGUGUGAAACGGCAGCCCAGAAAUCCCAGUCCUGUCUGGCUCGCGAGCCCAACGGUUGUAACUGUCACACUGGGAGCCCGAGGCUCUCGAGCUGCUGUGUUUGCAGUGCGCAGCUGACAGCUCAAGCUACAAAACAAAAACCCACAGCUCCAGCGCACGCACCGCUUUUUGUUUUGGAAGCGGGGUACACUAAACAUCCGCCACAAAGGUAAACUCUGACUUUGGAAUAGCUGGACAACCUGUCUCCUCCCUGCCUGCCUCUCAUCGGGCGGGUACGCGCUCGACUCUUAAUGCCUGCUUUCACUUGCAAAGAGCAGCCGGCUCUUGCCGUGAGAGUGAAACGGUCGGUUAAUUGGUGCUCUGUGGAGACGGGCGACCCCAUGCAUUUCGGCAGAGUCCUGGGUGUGAUCAGUUCUCAAAGAUUCUUUUCUUCGAGGAAUUUAUUGAAGAGGAGUUGUUUUUCAUUCAGUUAAUCAACGUUAGUAGAUAUGGAGAUCCAAUGCCAGCAGUAUCAUUUUGGAGCUCAAUGCUUUACUCAAUGCCCUCUCUUAAUUUCACACAGCAUGGAGGACUGUCCAGCAAAUGAUACUUAAAGCAGUUGACAGCACCAAAACCCUGGGACAAGCUAAGCAGAGAUAGGCGUGGGAAUUCCUAGAAGCCUGGCACUCCACGAAGAAAGCCAUCAACAAACACUUAGAACUCAAUCCCAUAUACAGUUCCUACGAAGGAAAACUGGAAACGAGGCAAGCCAGCUCAACGGACUCCAGAAUUUAAAAACCAGGCUUUGUCAGAGGCCGCACUGAUGAUAUUAACCAGCAGGGUAAAGAAACAUCUGCGGAACAACAAACCAGCUCGCAUACAAAAUGGAGCUAGACAAUCCUGCUGCCUGGAGACAGGGACCUGAGUUGCCAUGGAAAGAAGCAUGUGGAAGAAGGCUCAGUGUUAUUAGAGGAAGAAUCUGACAAAGCCAUGACAUUGAACAUCCAAUGCCUAAGUUGUAAUAAAGAACUAAAAGCUUGAGCAAUGUAAUUUAAAUUUCCCAUUGUCUUAAAUAAACCUGCUGCUAAAUGGAGCAAUACUAAGGAAACUGAAAUCUAUUUAUUGUACCUCUUUGAAUCUUGGAAAUAAAAAUAAUCAAUGGAUAUG